UUCACUUCUGGGCCUUUUUGCUAAGAUCAAAUAUAGUGUCUGUUUUUAUUAGUAUACCAUCUGACUUUUCUUCCUCUGAGAACAAAAUGGUAGAUUUUUGGAGCUGGGAUUGGAACUGGCACUUGAUGUAUACAUUCACACACCAACCUGAUAUUGCAUUACCUCCAGACAAUUGCCCCUUCA